CCCAUAGCCUGGAGCCACCACAGGAGGGGCACUCCACUCUCUUGGGCUCCUGGAGCCUCAGAGGCAGCCAGUGGAUUUGAUGAGAAGCACCGAGAGCACCGCCCGGCUCCCGGCAUCUGCGAGGCCUCGCACAGAGCCAGCCGGGAGUGCAGGAGGGAGAACUUUCCUGUGGACGUCCUGUGUUCUCCAGACGCAGAGAACCCUCAUCAACCGAGGGGGAGGUCACUUCCGAAUCCACAGAUGGCGUGUGAGUGCAUGGCGAGCGCCUCCAGGACACACUUACUGUUCCCUUGCUCUGGCCAGACGCCAGCCGGACCCUGUGUGUGCGCGCCGUGCUGCUCUUUGCAGCUGCCUGCAAGGGGUUCCUGCGAAGACCAGCACCUUGGGGAAGAGCCUGCGGCUGAACUUGAACUCGCAGCUACCUGAGUCAGACCUGUGCUUUUUCACCUCUACGGAAGAUGUCAGAGCGUUUCCCUAGCAAUGUUUUAGAAGUUACUUCUGUCUGGAAAAAAAUGGAAAAAAUGGCAAAUUAUGUUAUGUAUAAUUUGAUAAUUUUAAAGAAUUAAUGAUGUAAUUAUUACUCAAA
rnacentral:lncRNA from 1 species